rnacentral:rRNA from 1 species
CUCCGUAGGUGAACCUGCGGAGGGAUCAUUACCGAGUUUACAACUCCCAAACCCCUGUGAACAUACCUUACUGUUGCCUCGGCGGAUCAGCCCGCUCCCGGUAAAACGGGACGGCCCGCCAGAGGACCCCUAAACUCUGUUUCUAUAUGUAACUUCUGAGUAAAACCAUAAAUAAAUCAAAACUUUCAACAACGGAUCUCUUGGUUCUGGCAUCGAUGAAGAACGCAGCAAAAUGCGAUAAGUAAUGUGAAUUGCAGAAUUCAGUGAAUCAUCGAAUCUUUGAACGCACAUUGCGCCCGCCAGUAUUCUGGCGGGCAUGCCUGUUCGAGCGUCAUUUCAACCCUCAAGCCCUCGGGUUUGGUGUUGGGGAUCGGCGAGCCUUUCUGGCAAGCCGGCCCCGAAAUCUAGUGGCGGUCUCGCUGCAGCCUCCAUUGCGUAGUAGUAAAACCCUCGCAACUGGAACGCGGCGCGGCCAAGCCGUUAAACCCCCAACUUCUGAAUGUUGACCUCGGAUCAGGUAGGAAUACCCGCUGAACUUAAGCAUAUCAAUAAGCGGAGGA